CGGGCUGGCCGGGCGACCGCGUCGGUCCUUCGGGACCGUCGAGGAAGGUCCGGGCUCCGAAGGGCAGGGUGGUGGCCAACGGCCACCCGAGGUGACUCGCGGGAAAGUGCCACAGAAAACAGACCGCCGGUGAUCUCGAUCGCCGGUCAGGGUGAAACGGUGGGGUAAGAGCCCACCAGCGCGGCGGGUGACCGUCGCGGCUCGGCAAACCCCACCCGGAGCAAGACCAGACAGUGAGCGCUCGAGGGCUGCCCGCCCGAGCUCACGGGUAGGUCGCUGGAGGGUGUCGGCAACGGCACCCGGAGAUGGAUGGUCGCCAGCCACGGCGUCGUGAGGCGCCGGGGUGAACAGAACCCGGCCUAUGAGCCAGCCCGUCCG
rnacentral:RNase_P_RNA from 1 species